UCGACGCGAGCACUUGUGCUCGAGUGGCGAACGGGUGAGUAAUACAUAAGUAACCUGCCCUAGACAGGGGGAUAACUAUUGGAAACGAUAGCUAAGACCGCAUAGGUACGGACACUGCAUGGUGACCGUAUUAAAAGUGCCUCAAAGCACUGGUAGAGGAUGGACUUAUGGCGCAUUAGCUGGUUGGCGGGGUAACGGCCCACCAAGGCGACGAUGCGUAGCCGACCUGAGAGGGUGACCGGCCACACUGGGACUGAGACACGGCCCAGACUCCUACGGGAGGCAGCAGUAGGGAAUUUUCGGCAAUGGGGGAAACCCUGACCGAGCAACGCCGCGUGAAGGAAGAAGGUUUUCGGAUUGUAAACUUCUGUUAUAAAGGAAGAACGGCGGCUACAGGAAAUGGUAGCCGAGUGACGGUACUUUAUUAGAAAGCCACGGCUAACUACGUGCCAGCAGCCGCGGUAAUACGUAGGUGGCAAGCGUUAUCCGGAAUUAUUGGGCGUAAAGAGGGAGCAGGCGGCAGCAAGGGUCUGUGGUGAAAGCCUGAAGCUUAACUUCA
rnacentral:rRNA from 1 species